GAUGAACGCUAGCGGCAGGCCUAACACAUGCAAGUCGAGGGAGAAGCCCUUUCGGGGGCAGAAACCGGCGCACGGGUGCGUAACGCGUAUGCAACCUACCUUUCACAGGGGGAUAGCCCGAAGAAAUUUGGAUUAAUACCCCAUAAUAUUAUUGGAUGGCAUCAUUUGAUAAUUAAAACUGCGGUGGUGAAAGAUGGGCAUGCGUCCUAUUAGCUAGUUGGAGUGGUAACGGCACCCCAAGGCUACGAUAGGUAGGGGUCCUGUGAGGGAGAUCCCCCACACUGGUACUGAGACAGGGACCAGACUCCUACGGGAGGCAGCAGUGAGGAAUAUUGGUCAAUGGUCGGAAGACUGAACCAGCCAUGCCGCGUGCAGGAAGAAUGCCUUAUGGGUUGUAAACUGCUUUUAUAUGGGAAGAAUAAGGCGUACGUGUACGUUGAUGACGGUACCAUAUGAAUAAGCAUCGGCUAACUCCGUG
rnacentral:rRNA from 1 species